AAAGAAUUAGUUUAAUAAAAAAUUUUAAUUUGUCAAAUUAAUAAUACUAUUCAGUAUUCUUUU
rnacentral:tRNA from 1 species